AGUGAACGCUGGCGGUAGGCCUAACACAUGCAAGUCGAACGGCAGCACAGUAAGAGCUUGCUCUUACGGGUGGCGAGUGGCGGGCGGGUGAGGAAUACAUCGGAAUCUACUUUUUCGUGGGGGAUAACGUAGGGAAACUUACGCUAAUACCGCAUACGACCUACGGGUGAAAGCAGGGGAUCUUCGGACCUUGCGCGAUUGAAUGAGCCGAUGUCGGAUUAGCUAGUUGGCGGGGUAAAGGCCCACCAAGGCGACGAUCCGUAGCUGGUCUGAGAGGAUGAACAGCCACACUGGAACUGAGACACGGUCCAGACUCCUACGGGAGGCAGCAGUGGGGAAUAUUGGACAAUGGGCGCAAGCCUGAUCCAGCCAUACCGCGUGGGUGAAGAAGGCCUUCGGGUUGUAAAGCCCUUUUGUUGGGAAAGAAAAGCAGCAGGUUAAUACCCCGCUGUUCUGACGGUACCCAAAGAAUAAGCACCGGCUAACUUCGUG
rnacentral:rRNA from 1 species